rnacentral:rRNA from 1 species
AGCAGCAGCGCGCAAAUUACCCACUCCCGGCACGGGGAGGUAGUGACGAAAAAUAACGAUACGGGACUCAUCCGAGGCCCCGUAAUCGGAAUGAGCACACUUUAAACCCUUUAACGAGUAUCCAUUGGAGGGCAAGUCUGGUGCCAGCAGCCGCGGUAAUUCCAGCUCCAAUAGCGUAUAUUAAAGUUGUUGCGGUUAAAAAGCUCGUAGUUGGAUUUGUGUCCCACGCUGUCGGUUCACCGUUCGUCGGUGUUUAACUGGCAUGCCCGUGCGGACGUCCUGCCGGUGGAUGCGGUCGACCGUGGGCCUCUGGUCUGCGCGUCGGCGGUCCGAUGCAAUCCUACCGCGGUGCUCUUUACCGAGUGUCGAGGUGGGCCGGCACGUUUACUUUGAACAAAUUAGAGUGCUCAAAGCAGGCAGUGGUUCGCCUGAAUAUUGUGUGCAUGGAAUAAUGGAAUAGGACCUCGGUUCUAUUUUGUUGGUUUUCGGAACUUGAGGUAAUGAUUAACAGGGACAGACGGGGGCAUUCGUAUUGCGACGUUAGAGGUGAAAUUCUUGGAUCGUCGCAAGACGAACCUAAGCGAAAGCAUUUGCCAUGGGUGUUUUCAUUAGUCAAGAACGAAAGUUAGAGGUUCGAAGGCGAUCAGAUACCGCCCUAGUUCUAACCAUAAACGAUGCCAGCCAGCGAUCCGCCGAAGUUCCUCCGAUGACUCGGCGGGCAGCUUCCGGGAAACCAAAGCUUUUGGGUUCCGGGGGAAGUAUGGUUGCAAAGCUGAAACUUAAAGGAAUUGACGGAAGGGCACCACCAGGAGUGGAGCCUGCGGCUUAAUUUGACUCAACACGGGAAACCUCACCAGGCCCGGACACCGGAAGGAUUGACAGAUUGAGAGCUCUUUCUUGAUUCGGUGGGUGGUGGUGCAUGGCCGUUCUUAGUUGGUGGAGCGAUUUGUCUGGU